AACCCGGAAGCGGAGCGCGGCAAAUGGAGGUCUCUCAGCUCAGCGAUGUGUGCAACAUCUCUUACAACAUCUCACAGACUAUGAAUGUGUGUUUGGCUGAAGAAUUCUCAGGGGAGAUGGAGGUUACAGGUGGGAAUAUGUCAGGAGAGUACAUCGUCAGUGUUUUCACCACACACAAAACAUGGGAUUUUGGAGGUGAUGGAUGUGUUGGUUCGUGGAUUGUGAUAAAUAUUUCACGGUGUACACAUGUCACAUGGUCACAUGGUGUAUGACCUCUGAAGACUUGUGUUGCCUGAGGAAGAAGCCAAGAAGAUGAAAGAAAAUGUGUCAGGAAUUGCUCUUUCUCAGUUAACCUUCAAGGAUGUGUUCAUAGAUUUCACUCCCGAGGAGUGGGAAUGUCUGGACCCUGCCCAGAGGACCUUGUACAAGGACGUGAUGGUGGAGACCCUCAGGAUCCUGCUGUGGGUGAGGAUCACUUCCUUCCGAAGUGGUGGUAUACUUUGGGGUACCUCUGCAUGUUCCCUCUGUGUCUCUUGGGAGCCCCUGUUUUUCUUACUGAGAUCAAAGCCUUGUUGACUCUCACAUGUAAGGCUUCAUGAUUGGCAUCGGGAGUUCAAACUUGUCCUUUCUUCAGGUGACCUGCUCACUGUAUGAUACACAAGGAGCUUUUCCCGAGCUUGAGUGUUUAUAAAGCUGAUUUCAAACUUGUGAAGGAUCGAACCCAUGCCUCCUGUAUUUGCAGGCAUAGAGCCACCAGGAUGUUAAGGAAAUUAAAUAAAUAGUCUUGUUUAGGCUUCAAGACAAAGUAGUGCAUUCUUCUGACCUUCCUUCUAACCUGUCUGGACACACCCUGACUGUGAGUGCCUUGACUCCCUGCUGUGAAUGCAAGGCUUGUGGCACCAUAAAUAAGUUAGGGGACAAAUCUUGAGUUUGUUCAGCCCUUGGAAGGGGCUCUGACCAACCAAGCCCCAGGCUUAGCAGCAUCCAAGUUUUAUAAGAUGAAACAAACAGCAUUAAGAUGAAACCAGAGCUGCUGUUUCCUCACAGAUUGAUGAUGAUAUCAGUUCAUGUCCUGGGAUUAUAAGCAGUAACCUCGAACUGCAAUCUUUGAAGUCUCACCCACGGAAUGGACACACUGCCUGGGACGUUUUCCCAAUUGAGACUCCAGAUGUGCUGUGUCCUGGGAUUUGCCAGCGCUGUUUGAGUCUGGAUGUUGGUCAGAAGCCAAUUUGAUGAUAUAUCCUCUGCUGUUUCUAUUUCUCUUUGCUUUAAAUGGUAGUGUAUUGAGAGUCAGCUAGAUAAUUCUCUGUCUGUAUUAUGUAUUAUUUAUUUGUAUAGGGAUUCCCUGGUUUCUCAGAUGGCAGAGUCUGUGUGCAAUGUGGGAGACCUGUAUUCGAUCCCUGGGUUGGGAAGAUCCCCUGUAGAAGGAAAUGGCAACCCACUCCAGUAUUCUUGCCUUGAUAACCUUGUGGCCAGUUGAGCCUGGUGGGCUACAGUCCGUGGGGUCACUAAGAGUCAGACACGAGUGAACACCUUCACUUUCACUUUUUUCAUUUGUAUAGCACACAUGGCUUAUUUUAUUAACAAAUCCUUUAACCCUAAGAUGAAAGUGAAAACUUUUGGCAAAACAUUAAUUGGUGCUGUGAGUAGGAUUUGUGAGACAAAAUGCCACUCUGUAAGAAAAGAAGAGAUUAAGAUUGAUGAAGUUUUUAUUCCGAGAUGAAGGUUCAUCUUUACUCAUUAGCUAAUAAAUGGGAUGUAUUCACUGGAUUAUGUGAGAAUUGGGACCUUAAAUUCAGUGGGCUGAACCCUUAGAAGUUACUGAAUGUUUGUGACUCUCACCCCUUGAGAAAGGAUAAGAAUCUGCCCUGCUGGAUGAGAGGCUGGAUCCUCUUCUCUCCUACUGUGAAGUACAUAAAGCUAACUUAAAAUUGUCUGAAGAGAAGUUACAAAUGGAAACAGAAUUAUGUGAUUAGUGAGGAUGAUUGUCCACAUUACAAUGUCAAAUUAUAUUUUAGCUGAUCAAAUCCUCACUUUUUAAGUCGGCUCUCUAUUGAGCCAGCCCACAGCUCCAAUAGUGUCGCCUACUGCCCUUUCUCUCUCCAUUCUCUGUCCUUUUGUGGCCUUUCACCCCUCCCAACCCUUCUGUCUCCCUCUCUAUCAGCUGGUCCCCUUCUAACUUCCCCUGUCUCUCAGUGGGGAGGAUGAGCCCAGCUUCCCCCACUCCUGCCCCCAUUGUAGGAAGUUUCUUUACCCUUCAGAUUCUUCUGAUCAAACCAAUACCCCCAUCCCCACAGAGUGACAAUCUAAGAUUCUUAUCAGCCCAUCUGUCCCUCUUAUCACAGUCAAUUUGAGCACUAUUUGGUCUGUAAUUUAGCCAUGAAAUUUUAGCCAUGACUAUACAAAAGAAAGUAGCUUUUUUGAUACAGGAUGGCCAUGAUAUUCUUUAGACUCUGGAGAAAACAUAAUUUCUGUGAGUCUACUGCCUUUAUUUGUAAAAUUGGAAUAUUAGUGCUGUUAGGUUGUAUAGAAUAUUGCCUCUUUUACAGGAAAGAUCAGGAAUUUUUUUUUUUUUUUGGCUGCAGCAUGCGACAGGCAGUUGCAUCUUAGUUCCCCAUUCAUGGAUGGAAUCUGCUCCCCCUACAGUGGAAGCACAGAGUCCUAGCCAUUAGAGCACCAGGGAAUUUCCCUCAAAGAUUACUUUUGGGUAAAAAAUAUAUUAACUUUUUGUCAUGCUUAUUGUGACAUGUCCCUUUGUCUACAUUACAUCAUGUAUGUUGUUAAUUUGCAUUUUAUUUCUGACAGUGUUGUCUCUGACUCCAGGUAAUAAGUUUUUAAAGAAUAUUCCUUUCUUGUGAUAAGAAUACAUUUUUAAAAUAAUUUAUUUUUUAUUCAUUUUUGGCUGUGCUGGGUCUUCGUUGUGAUUCGGGCUUCUCUGUACUUCUGGCAAGCAGGGUCUACUCUCUGGUUACAGUGCACAGGCUUCUCACUGCAGUGCCUUCUCUUGUUGCAGUGUGUGGGCUCUAGGUACCCAGGCUUCAGUAGUUACAGGUGCCAGGCUCUAGAGCAUAGGCUUAGCUGCUCCGAGGCAUGUGUGAUCUCCCCAGACCAGCACUUGAACCUAUGUGCCCUGCACUGGCAGGUGCAUUCUUUACCCCUGAGCCACCAGGGAACCCCAAAGCAUGUUCCUUUACAUGUAUGUUGGGGCCAGUGAACUGGAUAAGUUGUAUAGAAAACGGAAUUGCUGUAUUGAAUGGCUAUUGUGUAAGUAGAGAAUAUUUCAUUUACUAAUUUUUUAAAUUUAGAGAUGAUGGUCUUUCUGAAUGUAUUAUCCAAUGUAACUGG
rnacentral:misc_RNA from 1 species